GUGGGGAAUCUUCCGCAAUGGGCGAAAGCCUGACGGAGCAACGCCGCGUGAGUGAUGACGGCCUUCGGGUUGUAAAGCUCUGUGAUCGGGGACGAACGGUCAGCAGACGAAUACUCUGCUGAAGUGACGGUACCCGAAUAGCAAGCCACGGCUAACUACGUGCCAGCAGCCGCGGUAAUACGUAGGUGGCAAGCGUUGUCCGGAAUUAUUGGGCGUAAAGCGCGCGCAGGCGGCUUCUUAAGUCCAUCUUAAAAGUGCGGGGCUUAACCCCGUGAUGGGAUGGAAACUGAGAGGCUGGAGUAUCGGAGAGGAAAGUGGAAUUCCUAGUGUAGCGGUGAAAUGCGUAGAGAUUAGGAAGAACACCGGUGGCGAAGGCGACUUUCUGGACGACAACUGACGCUGAGGCGCGAAAGCGUGGGGAGCAAACAGGA
rnacentral:rRNA from 1 species